ACCCAGGCACCCCGAAUUGUACAUUUUAAAUAGUUGUUACUCUGAAAUGCUGCUGCCAAGUCAUCUCACAUGACUCCAACGAGGCUCAGAGCAAACCCACCCACCUCUUGAGUUCAACACAUUGACCCUCUUCUGUCCCCACAUAUGGUUCUCUCAUCUGUACAUUUCUCUGACUUCAUCUCCCCGCUUCUCCUCACUUUGACUUGGGAUCUUCCUGCUGUGUAUCUGCUAUCCUUCAAAUAAAUGCUUCAUGCGAGCUGA